UGUACCUAUGAUGUCAUUGGUCAAGUACAAGUCUUGGAUGAUGAAUAUUAUAGGUCUGAAACUGAGGUCCAA
rnacentral:snoRNA from 1 species